rnacentral:misc_RNA from 1 species
GAUGAAGAACGCAGCGAAAUGCGAUACUUGGUGUGAAUUGCAGAAUCCCGUGAACCAUCGAGUCUUUGAACGCAAGUUGCGCCCGAAGCCAUCAGGUUGAGGGCACGUCUGCCUGGGCGUCACAUAUCGUUGCCCAAUGCCUAUUGCAGUGCAAUAGGAAUUUCUAGGGCGAAUGAUGGCUUCCCGUGAGCGUUGUUGCCCCGCGGUUGGUUGAAAAUCGAGUCCUUGGUAGGGUGUGCCAUGGUAGAUGGUGGUCGAGUUAGAACGAUACCGAUCAUGUGCAUGCUCCCCAAAAUAUGGCCUCUAUGACCCACACGCGUCUUUUGACGCUCAUGACGAGACCUCAGGUCAGGCGGGGCUACCCGCUGAAUUUAAGCAUAUCAAUAAGCGGAGGA